rnacentral:rRNA from 1 species
UGAACGCUGGCGGCGUGCUUAACACAUGCAAGUCGAACGAUGAAGCCUAGCUUGCUAGGUGGAUUAGUGGCGCACGGGUGAGUAAUAUAUAGAUAAUGUGCCUCUUAGUCUGGGAUAGCCAUUGGAAACGAUGAUUAAUACUAGAUACUCCUUCUAAACCUAAGUUUAGUCGGGAAAGUUUUUCGCUAAGAGAUCAGUCUAUAUCCCAUCAGUUAGUUGGUAAGGUAACGGCUUACCAAGGCAAUGACGGGUAGCGGGUUUGAGAGGAUGAUCCGCCACACUGGUACUGAGACACGGACCAGACUCCUACGGGAGGCAGCAGUGAGGAAUAUUGCACAAUGGGGGAAACCCUGAUGCAGCAACGCCGCGUGGAGGAUGACGCAUUUCGGUGUGUAAACUCCUUUUAUGAGUCAAGAAAAUGACGGUAGCUCAUGAAUAAGCACCGGCUAACUCC